AAGCAGCCGCGUCCACAUGGCUUCAGGUGUUCACAUGGCAGUAAACGGGCCCCUGCUCUCCUGGGCGCCCCAGCGCGGCGCCCUCCCGCCCACAUCCCGGCCCAGCCCCGCUGGCCUCGCCUCCAGCCCGUAGCCAAGAGGCGAGCGCGGCCGGUGCCCCCGGGGCUGCCAGGGGCCCCGAAGCAGGCGGCGCUGACUCCCGGACGCCGCCCGCUCACACCCGCCGCCUUUGCACCCAAGGCCUCGCGCGACCAGCAGGUCACUGAUUCUACUACCAUCUGUCAGCGUGGAUUGAUUGAGGAGACUGGCCCUGCUCGGCAGAUCAGUGACUUGUGCGAAGGUCCCACAGAAACUUCUGCUCUCCAGGUUUGCCCCUCCACUCUGCCCUCCAGGAUAGAAGUGUGGCAUCCUAAUCUGGGAUGCAUCCAUCUCUCCCCCUGGACUGUGAGCAUAUGCAGGGCAGAGACACCUCUGCUUCUCUUGGGUCUCCGGCAUCCUGUGCAGGAUGGGGCCACUGAGGUGCAAAGAGUUUAACUUAUCCCAAGUCACAC
rnacentral:lncRNA from 10 species